CAGCUGGGAGUAAAAAUGGCGCUAUCACCCUCAGAGAUAUGCGCUGCUGGAAUGGACAGAGGGUAAGGAUAGAGGGGCACAUAAUAGCCGUUUUAUACUGGGCAGCAAGCCCAGCCCGUCCUUUUGUGGCUCCGCGGAUUUAGACAGUGGACGUUAAAUUGGGGGUCUGUUUUGAUCCGCUCAUUUUCUGCCUCGAAGGGUACACUUAUUUCUGCCUCCAUGGCUAUCUAAAUCCGAGACGUCAAUGUGCAGGCAAUUACGUGAGAUGGGCGGAGGUGUCAAUGAUGUGUACUGUUGUGCAACCCACAGCCGGGGAGUUUUAAAACCAGGAAACAGCUGAUCACAGCAGUAAGUCCAUCACUUCAUCCAUGGACGUCAAGAUCAGCAACUGGACAGCCACUGAGAUCCAGGAGAUGCUAGCAUCCGCUUGGUCUUUGCAGCUGUCUCCGCUCUCAGCUUGUUGUAGUGGCAAGCUACAAAUGGUCGCUACUUUCAAAUUGAACCCCCGCUCCGCUGAGAACCCAGUUCUAAACUCCAAAGAGAAUUUCAAAAGACUCUCCAAAUAAAGCUAUGCAAGAUGGAGAUGGCUGAGAACACACUUGAAACAAAACAUCCUCACUUCCUAAACUCAAAGUACAGUGAGCAGGGGCAGACUGAGAAAGCUUCAAAGAAAAAGAUGCUACACUGAAGAAGUGGCUGGCAGCCACACAAAGGCAGAUCAGCACAUCCAUUAAUGCCAAGCUCACCGGGCUUAGAAGAGCAAAGAGAGAAAAAUAUUGUUUUGUUUUUUCUAUUAUUUCUUCAUUUUUAAUUUAUCAUUCUUGUUCUUGUUUUAUUUGAUUGUUUUAAUGUGAAUAAAUUAUGUAAAGUUCUACAUUUUGGGUUUUUAUUUGUUUGUGUAGGCUAUUUAUGGAUUUUAAUAAAUUUAACAUCUGUA